AGGUUAUGCGGCACCCCCCGCGCGGGCUGCUGGCUCAGUCCCCCUGCUUGCUGUAUCUGCGUCUGGGGACCGCCACCACCCGCAUCUGUCUCCACGUGGUGGCCAUCCAGGACUCUCAGUGACGACACCGCAGACGGUUGAGCUGGGAGCCCUCACACACUUGCAGGCAUCAUCAUCCCAGCAGGCAUGGUGGAGUCUGGGGAGAUGCGCAGGAAUUCCCGCGGGCUCUUAGAGUCUAGUGUUCAGUGGAAAUUCGUGCUGGGGAUAAAGAAUGGCCCUGGCUGGAGUGGAAUUUCGAUGACUGCCACAUCAUCUUCAGGAACUCCAUUGUAUUCUACGGGCAGCUCCCAAACCCAAGACUGCUGGCAGCAGAAAGGCCUCCAGGAAGGCACCUAGUGACGUAGAUAACAAAUCCGUUUUACGUGCCACAUUUCCUCAUAGGAUGUGCAUAGGAUCUCCUUUCCUGAAAGCCAGGACUGGCAUGCAGCUCCCUGGUUUGGGGUUGCAGCCACCUGUGUGGAGUCAGUUGGCUGGGCUGUGUCCUUGUCACCAGAAUCAGCUCCCCUGACUCUCAGCGUCACACACUUCCUGAUCCCAGGCUCACGCGCUGUGAAGCCUGGUGAAAGCACAUGUGUCGUCUCUCCUGGGUUCACAGCCUGAGCUGUGCGCUAUGAAUGCGACUGCACACAGCUGUAGUUUAGGGUGCCUCAGGCUCAACACUGUGUGAGACUUGUUUUUGACUACUUUAAUACUUUUCUUUAUUUAGAAUGUACCCCACACCUUUUCUGGCUUUGUGAUGUACUCAAAUUGCCUUCGUAGAAUUAGGAAAUCUGCAUAUGGAAAAUAAACCAAAAUCGUAUUGC
rnacentral:lncRNA from 1 species